GAUGUAAUGAGCCCAAAUUGUCUAACCAUUCUUCGCUUUACUCUCUUUCUAGCAGUCGUGAGCUUGGGCAAAUCUGAGCAACGCUCUCUUGGAAGGUGCACUUUCCACAGGCAACACAUCUUUCAAAGGAUCAAACAUUACGAGUGCAGGUAAUAAAUUUGCUCAAUCAUGAUAUUUUUGAUAGCCUUGACUUAGCCCUUAUCAUUAGGAACUUCAUCUCAAGGUGUGCUUGAAUCCAUGGGAGUUGUGUUUAGUACUACUAAAAUGAGAGUGUCCACUAUUAUUUGGGUUAAAUUGGGAAAUUUGUUAUAUACCUUGGUGGUUGUUUAUACCUUUUGCUUGACUUACAAGCUGUUUUUAGAUUGUUUUGUUUAUCUGAUUAGCUGUGUAACUUAGGAUGGUGUUGGUUUUCAUGCAAACUGACUAAAAAACAUGGGUUUAGAUUUUCGUAUAAAACAAAUGACAAAUAUAAAAAAAGCAAUGCAAACUAAUACAA